GUGCCAGCCGCCGCGGUAAUACGGAGGGUGCAAGCGUUGUCCGGAUUUAUUGGGUUUAAAGGGUGCGUAGGCGGCUUAUUAAGUCAGGGGUGAAAGACUAUUGCUUAACAAUGGCAGUGCCUUUGAUACUGAUAGGCUUGAGUACAGCUGAGGCAGAUGGAACGGGUGGUGUAGCGGUGAAAUGCAUAGAUACCAUCCAGAACACCGAUUGCGAAGGCAGUCUGCUAAACUGUAACUGACGCUGAGGCACGAAAGCGUGGGGAUCGAACAGGAUUAGAAACCCCCGUAGUCC
rnacentral:rRNA from 1 species